AAAACAACACAACGCACUUUCAUUCGUCUUACAACUGUGCAGACUUUGGUGACUUUACUGAAGCUUAUGUUUGAGUAUAAAGUACUGUGAUUGCUGUGGUGAAAUUGGUGAACCUACACUCUAAUGCUUGGUGCUUAGUUUAUUAUCAGAACAGAAAUUGUUGGUAUACUUGUUGGAAUUCAUCGCUUUGUGAUAUCAAUUAGCCGUCAUCUAGGCGCCUGGUAAGAGCUUAAAGAUAAUAAGUCUCAAACCAAAA
rnacentral:lncRNA from 1 species